CACAGCUCUUCCUCCUCCUUCCUCCUCCUCUUCCUCUUCCUCCCUUCUCCUUCCUCCUUCCCCCGGCCCCUUUUCCGCCUUUUUUCCACCCAUUUUGCCAACGGCAAAUCCGAGUCCGACGACUCCGACCCGGAACUUUCCUCGGCCGGGGGCUUUUUGGGGCCUUUCCUGGACUUUGGGGGCUCUUCCUCCUCCUCUUCCUCCUCCUCUUCCUCUUCCUCACUCUCCAUUUUUCCCUUUUUCCCCCCAUUUUUCACACUUUGUUUCUUCUCCUUCCCAUUUUUCCCCUUUUUUCUCUCAUUUUUCCGGGCUGGACUUUCCUCUUCCUCCUCCUCCUCCUCCUCCUCUUCCUCUUCCUCCUCCUCUUCCUCCUCCUCCUCUUCCUCCUCACUCUCCAUUUUCCCCUUUUUCCCCUCAUUUUUCCCGGAUUUUUGGGUAUUUUUUCCCUCAUUCCCAAUUUUCCCCUUUUUCACCCCAUUUUUGUGACCCGGCCUCUUCCUCCCCAUUUCUUCCUCCUCUUCCUCCUCUUCCUCUUCCUCUUCUUCCUCCUCCUCCUCCUCCUCACUCUCAAUUUUCCUCCUUUUCCUCCCAUUUUUCCCAGUAUUUUCCAUGUAAUUCCCAAUUUUCCCCUUUUUCACCCCAUUUUUGGGACCUGGCCUCUUCCUCCCCCUUUCUUCCUCCUCUUCCUCCUCCUCUUCCUCCUCCUCUUCCUCCUCCUCCUCCUCUUCCUCACUCUCCAUUUUCCCCUUUUUCCCCUCAUUUUUCCCGGAUUUUUGGGUAUUUUUUCCCUCAUUCCCAUUUUUCCCCUUUUUCACCCCGUUUUUCUGACCCAGCCUCUUCCUCCCCUUUUCCUCCUCUUCCUCCUCUUCUUCCUCCUCCUCUUCCUCACUCUCAAUUUUCCUCCUUUUCCUCCCGUUUUUCCCAAUAUUUUCCCCCUCAUUCCCAAUUUUCCCCUUUUUCACCCCAUUUUUCUGACUCAUUCUCUUCCUCCCCUUUUUCUCUUCCUCUUCUUCCUCCUCCUCCUCUUCUUCCUCCUCCUCUUCCUCCUCCUCCUCCUCCUCACUCUCAAUUUUCCUCCUUUUUCUCUCGUUUUUCCCAAUAUUUCCCCCCUCAUUCCCAACUUUCCCCUUUUUCCCCUCAUUUUUCUGACUCAGCCUCUUCCUCCCUUUUUCCUCUUCCUCCUCCUCCUCUUCCUCCUCCUCCUCUUCCUCACUCUCCAUUUUCCCCUCAUUUUUCCCGGAUUUUGGGUUUUUUUGACCCUCCCUCCGGUUUUCCCCCUUUUUCACCCCAUUUUGCCCCAUUUUCCCCCCAUUUU
ensembl:lncRNA